rnacentral:rRNA from 1 species
UACGGGGGGUGCGAGCGUUGUUCGGAUUUACUGGGCGUAAAGCGCACGUAGGCGGAUUGUUAAGUCAGGGGUGAAAUCCUGGAGCUCAACUCCAGAACUGCCUUUGAUACUGGCAAUCUAGAGUCCGGAAGAGGUGAGUGGAACUCCUAGUGUAGAGGUGGAAUUCGUAGAUAUUAGGAAGAACACCAGUGGCGAAGGCGGCUCACUGGUCCGGUACUGACGCUGAGGUGCGAAAGCGUGGGGAGCAAACAGG